CCCUUAGAUGUUCUGGGCCGCACGCGCGCUACACUGUUCGACGCAGCGAGUCUUAACCUUGACCGAAAGGUUUGGGUAAUCUUCAGCAAAGUCGAACGUGAUGGGGAUCGAUCAUUGCAAUUAUUGAUCGUGAACGGGGAAUUCCUAGUAAGUGCAAGUCAUCAGCUUGCGCUGAUUACGUCCCUGCCCUUUGUACACACCGCCCGUCGCUACUACCGAUUGAAUGGUUUAGUGAGAUCUCUGGAUUGACGCUGGCUAGGGGGCGACCCUUGGCCAGACUGUUGAGAAACUGCUCAAACUUGAUCAUUUAGAGGAAGUAAAAGUCGUAACA
rnacentral:rRNA from 1 species